GGGAUUUCAGCGAGACUUUAGAGUCUGAAAUCCAAACCGAAGAUCAGAUGAAAGGAUGAGGUCUCUUUUUCCACCCAGGUCUCUCUGUAUGUCUAUCUAAUUAUCAACAGCAGGUCAGUGGAAGAAGAGGGGAGUAUAGGAGGUGCUCACCUGUAGGCCUAUAUAUUGAGGAGAUGUGAGCCGCAAUGUACAGUUCAAGCGGGACUUUUCAGGGACAGAGCGCCAUUUCGACCAGAGCGCCAUUUCAGGGAAUAUGGUUAUGGAGGAAGAAACAGCCACACUCGAUGGACGGCACAGGUUGUAUAAAAUAAAAUGUGUCUCUGAGCUGAAAUGGAUUGGUUAAAAAGGAAAGCACUAAGCUUUUGCUUGGCUUAAUGAAAGGUUUUGUGUUGAUUUGACUCGUUGAUUAUAAGAAAUAACCUUUUAGACUAACUAGACUAGGCCUAUUUUAAAACUGGAAAAGGCAAAAGCGUGCUUCAUGGCACGGGUUACGCUAGAGAUAUCUCCUCAUCCUCGAUCUAGAACUGUUGAUGGAUUCACUAUAUCCGCCAUCCGGGGAACAUCCUUCCAUCCUGGGGCAGUGUAUUGGCGCACGAACUGCACGCGCACUCAACAAUAUGCAAUAUGUCAAACCAUCAAAAACUUGAGAAAUGUAUGCGAAAGCUUUAAAGCCUAAUGCGAUAGUUUUUGUAGUAGGCUAGAAAUAACUUUAAUGUUCGUAUCAGUAUAGCCAAUAGGCUUAAAAAAUAUAAUACAAUCUAAAAUGAUUAGUGUUGUCACCAUCAGCAAUCUUAAUAUGUUCGCCAAAUCCGUGAAGUGGCACAUGGCACGGGACUGCUGUACAUCUCCACGCACGAAAGAGGUCUGUGACACUGACGAACUGCGCAAGACGUUGAAUAGCAGCAGGAGGAGAGGGAGGAUGGCAACAUGGAGUAAUCCCUCUCCACUGGGCUAAAAUAUGCUUACCAACGAGUUACCUUUCCACCUGAAAAUCUCCGGCCAGGCAGCCCAAACAGACGGGGCGCCGGGAGAGAUGGAGCGAUAGAGGGACCGGCGGUGGAGAGAAGAGAGCAUGAGGUGUUUGUCUGUUUUUCAGGUCAGGGUGAGGAUGCCGUCACUGAGGUGAUGUGGCCUUCGUUCAGCACUAUUGAUUUUUCCCGGAAGCUGGAAGACGAGCUCUGCUCUGGGACCCAUUUGGAGCGUCUCAAAAAUCACUUAGCGCAUCAUUCCACACAGCCGGGAUCAAUUCUGGAGCUGGGCAGUGGGUCGGCACCGCACGGGGCUGAUUGUCUGCGUCUCUCUAGGUGUCCCAGGGAUGGAUAUUUGUUCUAACCCGGCAGAAGGGACACAAGAGGAUAGCAGAUGGUCCAAGCGGAUUAAAACCCGCCGGUGCGCGGUGCAGUGCAUGAGGAGGGAGAGAGAAAAUUGUUGCAAGAGGACAUGGAUAUAAGAAACUCAAACAUGAGGCAGCGCCUUAAACAGACCAACAUUUUGUCACCAAUUGCUCCACAGUGUCUCAUUACUUAACGCAUUCAUACUGUGGCAUAUUGUGG
ensembl:lncRNA